AUGGCUUCCUUCACUAUGCUUGUGUUCUGGAUUGUUUGGAAUGAGAUAAAUGCUAGAGUGUUUAGAAAGAAGUCCACGCCUCCGUUCUACAUUUUCAAGCUCAUCUAGGACGAGGCCAAACUAUGGAUCGCUGCUGCAGGGGCUAGGCAUCUAAGUGGCAUCAUGCCGCGAGAGUAG
rnacentral:rRNA from 1 species